GAUGAACGCUGGCGGCGUGCCUAAUACAUGCAAGUAGAACGCUGAAGGAAGGAGCUUGCUCUUUCCGGAUGAGUUGCGAACGGGUGAGUAACGCGUAGGUAACCUGCCUGGUAGCGGGGGAUAACUAUUGGAAACGAUAGCUAAUACCGCAUAACAGUAGAUGUUGCAUGAUAUCUACUUAAAAGGUGCAAUUGCACCACUACCAGAUGGACCUGCGUUGUAUUAGCUAGUUGGUGAGGUAACGGCUCACCAAGGCGACGAUACAUAGCCGACCUGAGAGGGUGAUCGGCCACACUGGGACUGAGACACGGCCCAGACUCCUACGGGAGGCAGCAGUAGGGAAACUUCGGCAAUGGACGGAAGUCUGACCGAGCAACGCCGCGUGAGUGAAGAAGGUUUUCGGAUCGUAAAGCUCUGUUGUAAGAGAAGAACGAGUGUGAGAGUGGAAAGUUCACACUGUGACGGUAUCUUACCAGAAAGAGACGGCUAACUACGUG
rnacentral:rRNA from 1 species